rnacentral:lncRNA from 1 species
AUGUAGUAACAAUCCCCCUCCGGCCCCUCAAAAACUCAGAAAUUGCAUUCUGCACGAAAAUAGCCUCUGUAGCAUUGAGUACCAGUACACGAAUUGGAGUACCGGUACUCGGCAAUUUCGGUACUAGGGGUCCAGUUCUGCAGAACCCGAAUGUUGGAAAUUCUGGUUUCUAUUAUGUUUCGGUACCCGCCCGAUACAGUACCGGUACUCAGUUCAGUAUCGAUACUCACAACCUGGUUCCGCAAAAUCUCAGAGCUGCCAAAUUCUGCGCUCUACUGAGUUUUGAUACCUCAAGCCAGUACAGGUACUCAACAC